rnacentral:rRNA from 1 species
UACGUAGGGGGCAAGCGUUGUCCGGAAUUAUUGGGCGUAAAGAGCGUGUAGGCGGUCCGGUAAGUCAGCUGUGAAAGUCAAGGGCUCAACCCUUGAAUGCCGGUUGAUACUGUCGGGCUAGAGUCCGGAAGAGGCGAGUGGAAUUCCCGGUGUAGCGGUGAAAUGCGCAGAUAUCGGGAGGAACACCAAUGGCGAAGGCAGCUCGCUGGGACGGUACUGACGCUGAGGCGCGAAAGCCAGGGGAGCGAACGGG